AACAAACGCUGGCGGCGUGCCUAACACAUGCAAGUCGUACGAGAAAGGGUCCUUCGGGGCCUGAGUAAAGUGGCGCACGGGUGAGUAACGCGUGGAUAAUCUGCCCUUCAGUUGGGAAUAACUCAUCGAAAGGUGGGCUAAUACCGAAUAAUGCUGUGAGACCUCGGUUGAUCAGCCAAAGAGAGCCUCUGCUUGCAAGCCCUCGCUGAAGGAUGAGUCCGCGUACCAUUAGCUAGUUGGUAGGGUAAUGGCCUACCAAGGCGACGAUGGUUGGGUGGUCGGAGAGGGUGGACAGCCACACUGGAACUGAGACACGGUCCAGACGCCUACGGGAGGCAGCAGUGAGGAAUCCUGCGCAAUGGGGGCAACCCUGACGCAGCAACGCCGCGUGAGUGAGGAAGGUCGUCGGAUCGUAAAGCUCUGUCGGAUGGAAUGAACCGCAUAGGGGUAAACAGCCCCUGUGUCUGACGGUACCAUCAAAGGAAGCACCGGCUAACUCCGUGCCAGCAGCCGCCGUAAAAC
rnacentral:rRNA from 1 species